UACGUAGGUGGCAAGCGUUGUCCGGAAUUAUUGGGCGUAAAGCGCGCGCAGGCGGUCCUUUAAGUCUGAUGUGAAAGCCCACGGCUCAACCGUGGAGGGGCAUUGGAAACUGGGGGACUUGAGUACAGAAGAGAAGAGUGGAAUUCCACGUGUAGCGGUGAAAUGCGUAGAGAUGUGGAGGAACACCAGUGGCGAAGGCGACUCUUUGGUCUGUAACUGACGCUGAGACGCGAAAGCGUGGGGAGCGAACAGG
rnacentral:rRNA from 1 species